GUGUGCGAUGAUUGCGCUCGCCUGAUUUGGAAUGUUGUAACAGGAGGAGCCACUCCGCUGUCACAAGCUGCAUUUGGAGGAAGAAGUGUCCUAAUUUACUUGUCAGAGCACUGGCGCUCCAAGAACGGACGAGGCACCCCACUGUGCUGAUUGCAAGCUGUUUUGGUCGCCCGCUUGUACAAGAAGGCCUUUCUCUCUCUCUCUCUCACUCACUCACACAAACACACACACACACGUAAACAUUGCAUUAAUGCCACGACCUCCCAUUCGGGUGGCUCGCGUGGCAAGAUUUCCAUCUAGCGGGCAGACGUGGAACCCGGUUCCUGCCAGCCGGGCUGAGGUUCCCCUCAGAUCCAGCGCUUCCCGUGACCGUUUAUGACCUUGGCCCCGAACCAGUUGAGCUGAGGGCCAGCCCGGACCAAGACCUCAGAUUCCACAUGUGCUUCUCAAAGAGGGACUGCCUGUCAUCAGACAAAGCGGCGUCCGGCCCACCGCUGUAACAACGCCCACUGCUACGCACAAGGGAAGCGACGUGGGCGAGUUCAGCCCAAGAGGGUGAGGGGCCAGGCAGAAGCUUUCCAGCCUUCACCAAGCUUGGAGACCCUUUGCAACACUUCUUGCGAGUCAAGCGUCGUCGACAUGUCCGGCCAACCUGACACCUCCGACCGCCCCCCUGGUGAGCGCGAC